GGGACGGUGCCCGGAUCGGCCUAACCCGGCUCCCGCUUGGCUCCGGUUGGACUGACGGCUCUUUUGGAUAGAGGGACAUGACAAAGAUAGAUAGCUCAAGACGUAGCCACUGUUUGCUUUGCAUUGCCACAUAAAAGAAGUCACAAACCCUCCUACUAGUUUUACUGAUGGAAAAAUGGGCGAUUUCCACCAAGCGGUACGGUUCACUUCAGUUCGUCACAUUCAAGUUUGAAUUUGGAGCCUCCUUUUAUUGUAAUCCAACGGUUUAUCUUCCCAGUCACAACAUGGUUUGGAUUUAGUUGUUGGACACAGUUGUUUUAUUUUAACAUUUUAUUUCUAAUCAAGGUAGUGGUUUUUAUUUUAUCUUAAAUCGAUUUUUUUUUGUAAUUGGUAAAAAAAAAUCGAGGUAGUCCAGUGGUUAGCACGUCGGCUUUGCAGUGCAGAGGUACCGGGUUCGAUUCCAGCUCCGGCCUCCCUGUGUGGAGUUUGCAUGUUCUCCCCGGGCCUGCGUGGGUUUUCUCCGGGUGCUCCGGUUUCCUCCCACAUUCCAAAAACAUGCGUGGCAGGCUGAUUGAACACUAAAUUGUCCCUAGGUGUGAGUGUGAGUGCGAAUGGUUGUUUGUUUCUGUGUGCCCUGCGAUUGGCUGGCAACCGAUUCAGGGUGUCCCCCGCCUACUGCCCGGAGACAGCUGGGAUAGGCUCCAGCACCCCCCGCGACCCUAGUGAGGAUCAAGCGGCUCGGAAGAUGAAUGAAUGAAUGAAUUUCUAAUCAACGUAGUGGCUUUUAUUUUAUCUUAAAUCGAUUUUUUUUUUAAUUGGUAAAAAAAAAAAAUCUCAAAUUAUCACACGUACAGAUACAAAUACGUAGAUUGUCAUUCUUUAUCGCCGCGGGUACAGAUGAAAUGAUGACUAUAGUCAGGUAUUCGGUAGGUUAAAA